AACAAUGCGUGGAGAGGGCUUCCAUCAUCAGGGACAGGGAGUGGAAGAAGAAGGCGGCGUGGAGCAACAACAGGCCGAAUGUGGCAAGUAGUAAAAUGGGCAGACGGCAGUCACAAAGGAAGUCAGUGCAGCCGCAGUACGCGCUCCCAAGUCAGGAAAAUAAUAAUGACAAGAGGUUGCAGCAAAGAAGAAAGCAGAAACCCAACAUCUCCUCGACCAAACGUGUUACUUCUCUAC